rnacentral:lncRNA from 1 species
AGAGGCAUCUCCGAGGUCCAAAGGCCGAGGCUUCCGUUAGGUGCCCGGGACUUCUGAUUCCCGGUCCUGUGACGUGAGCGGCCCCGGGAUUUUACGUGUGGGACGGGGAGGCAGAAGACUAAGAUAUCGCACAUGCUAAGCAAUCCGUCUCUUGAGGAACAUCGCUUCAAGUUCUGAACUUCCUGUCAGGGUCUCCUGCAGUGCAAGCUGGCCUCGCACUCGCUGUAGAGCUAAUGCUGGCCUAGAAUUCCUGACCCUCCUGCCUUUUACUUACUCCAAGGAACUGAGAAUAUGGACCUGAACCUGGAUUUACGUUUGCUCUAUGAGUGGUUGAACCCGGCACCAGAACAUGCCAGGCAGUGCUCCACCACUGAGUUACGUGCUUACACUAGGCUUUUACCCUUGCAAAGAUGGUUGCUAUGGACAUUUAUAUAUGUGAUUGGCUUACGUGGUAUGGUAAAAUAGUCUUAUAUUUUGCAGAUUUGGUUAUUCGUUGUUUAUUCAUUUAGGUCUUUAACCAUCUGGAGUUUAUUUUGUUGUAAUUUUUUUUUUAACAUUUUGGAGCUUUUGGUUUUAUUAUCUAAAAUAAAAGUUAUUCAUUCAU